UCUCUCUCUUUCUCCAUUCUUCUUCGUUGGGCAGCACACCAGUGGCCUCCGCGAGCACCACCGCGCAGGGCGCACCGGCAGUCGCGGCAAGCAGCCCAUGGAGGUUGAGCAGCGAGCGGUGGGUACUUCCCUCAAUGCCAUAGCUGCAGUGCCGUCGGUCACGCCAAGCUAGCAUGCCUCACGCUCAUGUCAAUUGCGCCAACGAGCUCCUCCGCGUGCUGCUCAACGGGAUGGUGCAGCGGAGCAGCGAGAGCUCAUGCCCAUCAACAGCUCCAUCGGUGAAUUGAAGCGCUACCCACCGGUGAGCUCAAUCUCGACCUCGGUAGCUGAUGCGCUCCACACCCAGCGAGCGCUUCGAUGAGUCUGGUUUGAUGUUGCAAUGGAUGAUUUGAGAUGUUGGGGUUACUGUGCGCUAUUGUUGCAAAAAUCGAUCUCAAAUGCCAGACUUUUUUUAGAUGUUGCAAACAAAUAUUUUUAAUGUUGCAUAAAGUGUUUUUGGAUGUUUCAUUAGCUAGUUCACGGAGUUACCAUCUUUUAACUAAAAAUGGAGAUUUGGAUCAGAUGUUGCACGAAACAUCACCAAAUUUAUUGCGUGGGAAUUUUUUCCUUAAAAUCUCUAGGAUUGGAUGCUAGUCAUCAGUUGUUGUCUUUUAUGUUGCAGAUGGUAAAGGUUGACUUUGCAGGCUCCCUUUCUCUACGUUGCAAUGGACCAUCCGAUGCGAAAUUUCACAUUGGAUGUCUGAGCGCUAGCAGCGCCGUAAUCUAAUAUACAAUCAUAUGCUGAAGCUGUUCGAAGAAUGCCAUCGAGUCAAAUGUCCGAAAAGAUUUUUUUAAAAAAAAUUCUCCCACGCUUUGAAUAAAGCGAGCUCUUUUACGAUACACAAUAAUACUCUCUCCGUCCCAAAUUACUAUUUAUUUUGGACUUUGUAAAUGUAAAACUUUUGAUAUGGAUUACGUAGCAAAAGCUAUGUAUCUAGAAAAGCCGAAACGAAUAGUAAUUUGGGAUGGAGGGAGUACUACUCAGUGGUAUAUAGUAUUUAUAAUUUUUUUCCGAAAUAUAUAGUAUCUAUAAGGUAUAAUUGUUCAUUAUUAUAUAUAAUUGUUCAUUAUUAUAGAUAAUUUAGUAAUUAUUAUAUUGUAAGAUGUGAUAUUUCAAAUGGAAUGGAACUUGUGUCAAAAAUAAAAAUUAUAGUGAUGUUAUUUGCAUUUUUUACCCUAAUGCCCUUAUACUACCUAUACUACUCGUGUAUACUACCCAUAUCACAGGUGAAGAUUUUAGUAGUAUGUAAUUAAUCUUAACCAUCGUAUGUUUUCAUACUAGUUCUUUUCGAAAAUUAAUAUAGCAUAGAUAGAUUGUGUACCGUAAAAGAACUCACGUAACUAGCGCAGAACCAGUCUUUUAAUUUAUAGCGUAUUCGAAAGCGAGCUUGCCUAACAAAACAUUCAAACUGAUAUGGCUUGAAGUCGAAGAAAUUGUAGCCAGCAUCACACCUCUGGCCAAACUCCAGAGGUAAACAUUUUCUGUAUACUAGGUUGGCAUGGCUGAGAUAAACAUGUUUUUCCUCUCACAGUAUAGGAACAAAAGUCUGUUAAAUUUUUUCACGCAAUCAACAAUAACAAUAACAAUAUAGACUUUCAGUCCCAAAUAAGUUGGGUAGGCUAGAGUUGAAACUCAACAAGAGUCACAAAGCAGGAUUCUGGCACAUGAAUAGCUCCAAGCACUUCUAUUCAAGGCUAAAUCUUGGGUAUAUUUCAUCUCUUCAAAUCACCUUUUGUUGCCUCUUCCGAUGUCAAUUUUGAUUUUCAUCUGCCUCUCUUCACAUUACUGUCAUGCCUUAAGAGUUCCACUAUGCACCGGUGCCUCUGGAGAUCUUCGUUGGACAUCACAUUACUGUCACGCCUUAGAGUUCCACAAUGCACCGGUGCCUCCGGAGACCAUAGUUGGACAUUACAUUGUCAUGUGUCUGCUAUUGUCCCCGUUGUCUCUUUUGCUUAGUUCUUGCGCAGUGUGCUGAUGCAUGUUUCCACAUAGAAUGUGCAAAUUAUGGAUGUUCCCAGGGUGAGGCAGUGUGCAUGGAGUAUCCAGGUGACUACGCAAGAUUCUCUGCGACUCUGAAGAUAAGACCUGGAAGGUACGAGAUCAGGUUCUUGGUUGGAUGGGGCCUGGAGAUUGUCACCUGAAUAUCCCAUCGCUGCCAAGGGGAUGACGCAGAAGUACAGAACAAUGCUCUAGAUGUGGAGUAGCAUAUUUUCCUCCUCUUCUAGCAUAUCUGCCUGCCAAGUGCCAAGCAAGAAAUCAGUAUUUUGUGCAAAGCAAGCCUCCAGUUGCAUCAGUUUGUUCUUUACUGUAACACACACACGACUAGUACUAGAUCACACUGACCAAUUCUUUUAGUGCCCUGGGUCUAUACCAUCUAAACAACUACAACAGUAUGUAUGCUCCAGCUUUUGGCUUGAAUUUUUCCGAGGUCCAGUGGCGACACGGAUCAGUGAAAGCUCUACAAAAUGCUUGUAAGGAACAUUGUACUACUGAAAAACUGAGCAUUGGUUCUAA